AUUGAACGCUGGCAGCAGGCCUAACACAUGCAAGUCGAGCGGAUGAAGGGAGCUUGCUCCUGGAUUCAGCGGCGGACGGGUGAGUAAUGCCUAGGAAUCUGCCUGGUAGUGGGGGAUAACGUCCGGAAACGGGCGCUAAUACCGCAUACGUCCUGAGGGAGAAAGUGGGGGAUCUUCGGACCUCACGCUAUCAGAUGAGCCUAGGUCGGAUUAGCUAGUUGGUGGGGUAAAGGCCUACCAAGGCGACGAUCCGUAACUGGUCUGAGAGGAUGAUCAGUCACACUGGAACUGAGACACAGUCCAGACUCCUACGGGAGGCAGCAGUGGGGAAUAUUGGACAAUGGGCGAAAGCCUGAUCCAGCCAUGCCGCGUGUGUGAAGAAGGUCUUCGGAUUGUAAAGCGCUUUAAGUUGGGAGGAAGGGCAGUAAGUUAAUACCUUGCUGUUUUGACGUUACCAACAGAAUAAGCACCGGCUAACUUCGUG
rnacentral:rRNA from 1 species